UACGUAGGUGGCAAGCGUUGUCCGGAUUUACUGGGCGUAAAGAGCGCGCAGGCGGUCGAUUUAGUCGUGUGUGAAAGCCCCCGGCUCAACUGGGGAGGGUCACGCGAUACUGAUCGACUCGAAGGCAGGAGAGGGUAGUGGAAUUCCCGGUGUAGUGGUGAAAUGCGUAGAUAUCGGGAGGAACACCAGUGGCGAAGGCGACUACCUGGCCUGUUCUUGACGCUGAGGCGCGAAAGCUAGGGGAGCAAACGGG
rnacentral:rRNA from 1 species